rnacentral:rRNA from 1 species
GCGCGAAAACUUUACAAUGCUGGCAACAGCGAUAAGGGAACCUCGAGUGCCAGGUUACAAAUCUGGCUGUCGAGAUGCCUAAAAAGCAUUUCAUAGCAAGGGCCGGGCAAGACCAGUGCCAGCCGCCGCGGUAACACCGGCGGCUCGAAUGGUAACCGUUAUUAUUGGGUCUAAAGGGUCUGUAGCCGGCCGGAUGAGUCUCUUGAGAAAUCUGGCAGCUUAACUGUCAGGCUUUCAGGAGAUACUGUCUGGCUCGAGGCCGGGAGAGGUGAGAGGUACUUCAGGGGUAGGGGUGAAAUCUUGUAAUCCUUGAAGGACCACCAGUGGCGAAGGCGUCUCACCAGAACGGACCUGACGGCAAGGGACGAAAGCUAGGGGCACGAACCG